AUGGAGUGGGACCUUCUAGCGAACUCACCUCUUGCCUUUUACCAGAUGUGACCGUAGAAUGGCCCAAAUAACUCCAUUCGGAAAAUCUUUGGCAACUCCAAGAACCCUUGGUU
rnacentral:snRNA from 1 species